UACAGGGGGUGCAAACGUUGCUCGGAAUCAUUGGGCGUAAAGCGCACGUAGGCGGUUCGUUAUGUCGGAUGUGAAAGCCCUUGGCUUAACCGAGGAAGUGCAUCCGAAACUGGCGAGCUAGAGUACUAAAGAGGAUCGCGGAAUUCCCGGUGUAGAGGUGAAAUUCGUAGAUAUCGGGAGGAACACCGGUGGCGAAGGCGGCGAUCUGGGUAGAUACUGACGCUGAGGAGCGAAAGCUAGGGGAGCAAACGGG
rnacentral:rRNA from 1 species